rnacentral:lncRNA from 1 species
GCUUUGUGUAACCUAUAAACAAAUUCGACUGGAUAUAAGGAAGUUAAUAUGUUUACUCUGAUUUGAAAUUAUCUUUUAGAACUUUUUUUUAGUAAUUGAGAACCUAUGUUGUUUAUGGAUAAUAGGUGAAAUGUUGCAUGAUCCCUCAAAAUGACAGCUAGCGCAGUUUUCCGGACGAUUUUCAUUUGUACACUGCUAAAAACUGUCAGGUCCUGGCCAUGGUAUAUUUU